GUCCUGACUUUCUGUGGUCAUUAAAAAUCCCAGGGUGUGUCUUGUAAAGAGUAGGGGUGUUACCCUGGUGUCCUGGCCAAAUUCCCCCUGGCCCUUACCAAUCAUGGCCUCCUAAUAACCCCCAUCUCUGAACUGGCUUCAUCACUCUGCUCUCCUCCCCACUGAGAGCUGGUGUGUGGGGAGAGGACUGGUGCAUCAUCCAGGUGGGGCUGCACACUGGUGGUGGUGGAGGGGAUCCCCAUUACCUGUAAAGCGCUUUGAGUGGAGUGUCCAGAAAAGCGCUAUGUACUGUAUUUGUAAGGAAUUAAUUCAUUAUAUUGUAUGCCCUUGUGUUGUACUGAAUUAUACCACCCCUAUGUUGCACCUGCCUACCGUGACCUGUCAAGAGACAAGCCACCAGCAACCCGAAAGCCAUGAGAGGCUGAAUGGUCUCUCCUCAUCUGCAAACUUUCUUUUAUUUUAACAGUUUGCAGUAGGCAGCACGGGGAAACACGAACUUUCAAGCUGAAAUACCGCAUCGCGCUUUUCCCUCGAGGGGGGUUUGGCGCCCUCUGGCGGGGCUUUCGCUGUAGGACAGCCCGGCGCCGGAAGGAGCCGCCCGCGGGGACGACCCAGUGAAUGGGGGCCCCUGGUGGCGGUGCUGCGGAACUGCAACGCCUGCUAGUCCCGAGCUGUCGCUUUGAAAUCGCCGAGACCGCUUCGAGACACCUCAGAUUCACCCACCCUGCUGCUGUACUGGCGGUUGUCACUGCGGCAGCUUCGAGCCCUCGCGAGGUGUUUUGACCCCGCCGGGCUGCCGUGUGUUUGUGUUGAUGGAGACGAAGAUGGCGGAUGAGCUGGAGCGAGUGCGGAUCUCCGCCGCGGAGCUGAGAGGGGGAGCGGCGCUCGGACGCAGCCGGGAGCACAGCCCCCGAGGCGGGGAGCCGACAGGGGGCUGCAUCGAGCGCCAACGAGGCGCCAUGCCAGCAAGCGUCUCCUCUACUGGGGGUUGUGGGGGUCCUUGUCAACCGCUGGCUUGCGACAGAGACCUCCGGCUUCAGCUCGGUUCCGCAGGGAGCAGCAGAGCCCCCGAAAACCGUCCCAGCCUUCCCACUCGUGAUCGCAGGGCACCCGUCGCGCCCCGGAGGUCACUGCGUCGCCAACCAGCGUGCAGAGUGCAAUUGGGAUUUUUACAAUGAUUUCGGAUUGUAGCGGUUGGCUUUUUAUUGCUUUGGCCGGUGGAUUUGAAGUCGCCUGUUGCCUGUGAGCUCAGCUCAUGGGUGCCCAGCCCUUGCUCCGCCCUGCCCCAGGACACUGCGGCGCCGCGGGCGCGCGACUCUGACACGCCGGCUCGCACUGGCGAGAACGAGGGCUGGCGCACCGCGGGAAAGCACGCCAGGGAAAACCCGCCUGAGCAAGGGGGGGGGGCGGUUCUGGUGCCGGUCCAGACAAUCCUGUUUUCUGUCCUUGCAAACCGGAACCGUUGGGACUUUUCCUGAUGGCUCCUGUGCUAAAGGGAGUGAAAGGAGCGACAAAUCUUUCGAUCGGCGCAGCUCAGAACUGGAGUUUUGUUAAAGAGAGAUCGUCGCAUGGAAACAACCGAACUGUGUGAAGUGCUUGCGGUGCUCAGUGCUUAGUUAUUUUUAUUAUUUUGCUCACAUUUUUAUCCAGAGCAACUCCCCUUCAUACCCUGUGCGUGUUCUCGCAGCAAUCUGAGCGAAUUACCUCAGUCGGAGGUACGACUCCAGUGUCCCUCUUGGGAUCUGAACCCACAAUCAUCGACUUCUGAGCUGAUUAACUUCCAGCCACUCCUCCUCACUCCUCCUCGUUCAGAGUGACGUCAACGGACGUGAUCAACAACUUAAACGGGGAAAAACAGCUGUCAGAGUUGGGAAAAAAAAGUAAGCGUGCCGGGGACAAGAAUAAUAGUGCCCCCCGUUUUCUGUGCAGCUCUUGGAAUUCAGGGCCACAUUCUGGGCAUUUCAUGUAAGUGGGGCUCAGUUCGUGCACAGUGCGUGGUAUUGAUUGAUCAGGGCUCCGGGGGCAGAGAUGAAGGAAGCUGACUCACCAGGCGAGAGGGAAGGAGCUCUUCGCAUAAACACUGUUUCAGGUUUCACCACCGCUGAUCUGGUUUUAAUUAAAACGGCAGCGCAGCAGCAGCAGGGCUGGCGUGACGAGAUAAUAAAUGCCCAGGAAGAUCGAUGGGUGUACUCUCCCCCGUUGGGUGUUUUUUGUUUUUUACUUGUCGGAGUACGCCAGGCCUGAGUCACUGGCUCACGCUGCUGUGGGAGGGACGGUGCUUGUCUGUGAUGGCUAGUUUCCUCCGGGAUCUGUCCCGAUGGGGUUGUUUCCAGAGGGCGUUCAACACAAACCUCUCACUCAGCGCUAAAUGAAUAACAGCCUGUAAUGUGAUAUCUUGCCUCACUAUUAAUGGCCUUCCAUCUGAUGGGGCGAGUGACCUGUUGUUUGAAAAGGUGUCAUCAAAUGAUUCCUAUUGAAUGGGGGAGAGACUUCCUUAUAGCACGUUGCUGUGAUCCCCCAUCUCUCUACGGUCCUGUCUCUUUAACUGCUCGGCUCCCUUGCGCCGACCAGGUGGGCUAAGCGAUUGUGCAGGAAGGGAAGUGUUUUUCAUUUGAACUCGUGCUCGCCUUUUGUCAUCAGGCAGGGUAUUGAUUUUCCCCCCCCCCUCAUUCUCUCCUGCUUUGUUUCGUGAAGAGAGAAAAGUGGUGGGAAAACCUGCAAGUCUCGGUGGGUGCCCGAGUGUCCGACUGAGGCUGUGUCUUCAGCGGUGUGAGUCAGAUGAGCGCUGGCCUUGCGGCCCACGCAGCGCGCACCCGAUCGAGAGCAGGGGGCGGAAGGUGACCCCCGCUGGCCAACCCACACGGCCCAUCUGAACAUCCUCAUUAAGGCAGAAAAGAGUGGAAGCAUAAACCACAGAAGGGAUGGCAGAGAGUCAGAGAGACGCCUCUCUUAGGUUUUCGUUUGGCUCAGCAAGUUGGGGUUGUUUGCUCUGGGAAAGGCAAGUCACUCCAGAAGAGCAGAGUAGUUUAUUGCCAUACUUACAAAAACAUUGGAAUUCUUAAUCACUCUGAUCUCUCGGGACACACACAGUACAACAGACAACACCGCGCAAUGUAGACACGGACAAUAAAUGUGUUGUGGAAAAAUAAAUAUGUAGAAGUGAGACCAAAAAAACAAAAUAAAAUGGUGUAAAAAGUGCGUAGUGCAGAUGUGUAUUAAGGCCCUGCAGUUAGCUGUUGUUGAGGAUGCUCACUGCAGUGGGAUAGAAGCUGUUCUUGAGUCUAGUGGUCCAGCUUUAACAGUGCUGUACCGCUUGCCAGAGGGCAGGGGGGAGAACAGUUUGUGGCCGGGAUGGUUGGGAUCCUGAGUGAUGGAUUGGGCUUUAUGGCGACAGCCGACGGUGUGGAUCUCACUGAUUGAUGGUAAAUCACCACCUAUAAUCCUCUGUGCUGUUGCCACAAUCCUUUGUAGUCUCUGUCAUGCGUGGUAGUAUUGCUGUACCACAUAGUGAGGACACUUUCUAUGGUGUUGUGGUAAAAGUUAAUGAGGAACUGCUUCCCCAAACCACAUUUCAUUAAACAUCACAGAAAGUGCAGGCGCUGUUGUGCCUUUUUCAGACUGGCUACAGUGUUGUGACUCCAAGCCAGGUCAGUGCAGAUCUGCAGGCCGAGGAACCUGAAGCAGCUGACAGUUUUCACUGCUGUGCCAUUAAUUGGGGCAUGACUCCCUCUGGGUGUCCUCAAGUCCACAAUGAGUUUUAUUUUGUCUUGUUGACAUUCAGGGCCAGAUUGUAAGAUGCUCCACCUCACUCCUAUAUGCAGACUCAUCUUUGUUGUUGAUCAGCCCAAUAAUGGUCGUGUCAUCUGCAAACGUAAUGAUGUGGUUGCUGCUGUAAGUGGCUGUCCUGUCGUACAAGGAGUAUAGCCUAGGACUGAGACAGCAGCCCUGUGGGGCUCCAGUGUUUAGGAUCGCUGUAGAGGUGAUAUUGUUGCCAAUUUUCACCACCUGAGGUCUGCCUGUCAGGAAAUCCAGUAUCCAGUUGCAGAUGGAGUUGCAUAAACCCAGAUUCCUGAAUUUUAGGACCAGCUUGGUAGGAACAAUUGUGUUGAAGGCCGAGCUGUAAUAUAUAAGCAGCAGCCUAACAUAGGUGCCCUGUCCGUCUAAAUAUUCUAGGGAAGUAUGUAGUGGUAGAGAUAUGGCAUCGUCAAGGGAGUCUGGACUAGAGCACUUUAUAUGGGACAAUACUCGGCUUUCCAGGCUCCUCAUGACCACUGAAGUGAGAGCACUGGGCGGUACUCGUUCAAGCAGGUUACCUUGGUCUUCUUGGGCAGUGGCACAGUUGUGGUCUUCUUAAAGCACUCUGGUACAACUGCCAGGGACAGAGAGAGGUUAAAAAUGUCUGUUUACACAGGAGAUCGCUGGUCUGCACAGGUUUUAAGGACAAGAGGGGAGACGCCAUCUGGGCCGGCUGCUUUACAAGUUUUCACUCUCUUAAAGGCUCUACACACCUCUUGUUUAGAGAGCUGUAACACAAAGUCCCCUGGUUCACAGGGAGCCUUGAUAGCAGCUCGGUGUUCUAAGCCUCAAAAAAGAAGUGAAAGGUGUUCAGCUCAUGUUGUAGAGAUGCUUCCGUGGAGGAAAUACCCCUGGUGUUGCCUUUGUCGCUCGUGACACAUGCACCUCGAGUCACCGCCCAAGCUGUUUCUCUCAUUUGUCCCUGUUGUAUUCCUGUUUUGCCAGUUUAAUGGCUUUCUCCAGGUCCUUCCUUGAUUUCUUAUACAGUUCUCUGUCGCCUGAUAUGAAGGCAGCGGAC
ensembl:lincRNA